AACGCGAAGAACCUUACCUGGUCUUGACAUCCACGGAAGUUUUCAGAGAUGAGAAUGUGCCUUUGGGAACCGUGAGACAGGUGCUGCAUGGCUGUCGUCAGCUCGUGUUGUGAAAUGUUGGGUUAAGUCCCGCAACGAGCGCGACCCUUAUCCUUUGUUGCCAGCGGUCCGGCCGGGAACUCAAAGGAGACUGCCAGUGAUAAACUGGAGGAAGGUGGGGAUGACGUCAGGUCAUCAUGGCCCUUACGACCAGGGCUACACACGUGCUACAAUGGCGCAUACAAAGAGAAGCGACCUCGCGAGAGCAAGCGGACCUCAUAAAGUGCGUCGUAGUCCGGAUUGGAGUCUGCAACUCGACUCCAUGAAGUCGGAAUCGCUAGUAAUCGUGGAUCAGAAUGCCACGGUGAAUACGUUCCCGGGUCUUGUACACACGC
rnacentral:rRNA from 1 species